UACGGAGGGCGCAAGCGUUGUUCGGAAUUACUGGGCGUAAAGCGCGUGUAGGCGGUCUGGUAAGUCGGUUGUGAAAUCCCCGGGCUCAACCCGGGAACUGCAUCCGAAACUUCCAGGCUAGAGUUUCGGAGAGGAAGGCAGAAUUCCCAAUGUAGGGGUGAAAUCCGUAGAGAUUGGGAGGAAUACCAGUGGCGAAGGCGGCCUUCUGGACGAUGACUGACGCUGAGACGCGAAAGAGUGGGGAGCAAACAGG
rnacentral:rRNA from 1 species